rnacentral:rRNA from 1 species
AUCUUCAUUAUUUAAAUACCAUAAAAAGACCAGAUCCCAUUUGAUCCUGGAAGCUAAAUAAGGUCAUUCCUUGGUUAGUACUUGGUUGGGAGAUCUCCAAUAAAUAACAGGUGCUGUAGGCU